CGCGUAGGCGGUCAGCACAAGUCAGUUGUGAAAUCUCCGAGCUUAACUCGGAAAGGUCAACUGAUACUGUGCGACUAGAGCGCGGAAGGGGCAACUGGAAUUCUUGGUGUAGCGGUGAAAUGCGUAGAUAUCAAGAGGAACACCUGCGGCGAAGGCGGGUUGCUGGGCCGACACUGACGCUGAAGCGCGAAAGCCAGGGAGCAACG
rnacentral:rRNA from 1 species